AUCAAACAAGCUGCUCAGGUAAUCACUCUUCUCCCCAAAAAAUCAUUAAUUAAAUCUGGCCAUCCGUUAAAACUAUUCUGCUUUGUUGACAGUGUUUUGCUCUAUCCUGGUAAUGCUUGUGAGUCAUAAUAAAUAACACCCUUGUUAAAAUAUAAGGGUAGCAUUUUUCAAUUCCUAUCCAUAAGAUUGUCAAUAUUUAGGUUGUAUGUACAUCCGUUAUGUAUGAAUAGCACCCAAUGAUUUGUGGAAGUAUAAUUUUGUAUUAUGGGUACCUGCCAAUGUAAUAGAGAUGAUAAAAAAUAUAUACAGUAGAUUAAAAUAUUGUCAUACAAUUGCGAACAAUAUAUUGUACUUUUGUGUGUUGGUGCACAUUAAACACAAUCUUGGUAAAAGUAAUACAUUUCCUUACAAUACGCCUAAAUUUAUUACAUAUAGUUUCUUCUUUCACUAUCAUACUAGCUGCAGGCUAGGACCAAGUUUGUUGUUAAGCAUUCUGAGUUCCAGACCAUUAUUUUAGUAAAUAACCCUGUAAGUGA